rnacentral:rRNA from 1 species
UACGAAGGGGGCUAGCGUUGCUCGGAAUGACUGGGCGUAAAGGGCUCGUAGGCGGUUUGUCGCGUCGGGAGUGAAAACUCAGGGCUUAACCCUGAGCCUGCUUCCGAUACGGGCAGACUAGAGGUAUGCAGGGGAGAACGGAAUUCCUGGUGUAGCGGUGAAAUGCGCAGAUAUCAGGAGGAACACCGGUGGCGAAGGCGGUUCUCUGGGCAUUACCUGACGCUGAGGAGCGAAAGUGUGGGGAGCGAACAGG